CACACUAUCAUUAACUGAAUCCAUAGGUUAAUGAGGCGAACCGGGGGAACUGAAACAUCUAAGUACCCCGAGGAAAAGAAAUCAACCGAGAUUCCCCCAGUAGCGGCGAGCGAACGGGGAGGAGCCCAGAGCCUGAAUCAGUGUGUGUGUUAGUGGAAGCGUCUGGAAAGGCGCGCGAUACAGGGUGACAGCCCCGUACACAAAAAUGCACAUACUGUGAGCUCGAUGAGUAGGGCGGGACACGUGGUAUCCUGUCUGAAUAUGGGGGGACCAUCCUCCAAGGCUAAAUACUCCUGACUGACCGAUAGUGAACCAGUACCGUGAGGGAAAGGCGAAAAGAACCCCGGCGAGGGGAGUGAAAAAGAACCUGAAACCGUGUACGUACAAGCAGUGGGAGCCUCUUUAUGGGGUGACUGCGUACCUUUUGUAUAAUGGGUCAGCGACUUAUAUUCUGUAGCAAGGUUAACCGAAUAGGGGAGCCGAAGGGAAACCGAGUCUUAACUGGGCGUUAAGUUGCAGGGUAUAGACCCGAAACCCGGUGAUCUAGCCAUGGGCAGGUUGAAGGUUGGGUAACACUAACUGGAGGACCGAACCGACUAAUGUUGAAAAAUUAGCGGAUGACUUGUGGCUGGGGGUGAAAGGCCAAUCAAACCGGGAGAUAGCUGGUUCUCCCCGAAAGCUAUUUAGGUAGCGCCUCGUGAAUUCAUCUCCGGGGGUAGAGCACUGUUUCGGCAAGGGGGUCAUCCCGACUUACCAACCCGAUGCAAACUGCGAAUACCGGAGAAUGUUAUCACGGGAGACACACGGCGGGUGCUAACGUCCGUCGUGAAGAGGGAAACAACCCAGACCGCCAGCUAAGGUCCCAAAGUCAUGGUUAAGUGGGAAACGAUGUGGGAAGGCCCAGACAGCCAGGAUGUUGGCUUAGAAGCAGCCAUCAUUUAAAGAAAGCGUAAUAGCUCACUGGUCGAGUCGGCCUGCGCGGAAGAUGUAACGGGGCUAAACCAUGCACCGAAGCUGCGGCAGCGACACUAUGUGUUGUUGGGUAGGGGAGCGUUCUGUAAGCCUGCGAAGGUGUACUGUGAGGUAUGCUGGAGGUAUCAGAAGUGCGAAUGCUGACAUAAGUAACGAUAAAGCGGGUGAAAAGCCCGCUCGCCGGAAGACCAAGGGUUCCUGUCCAACGUUAAUCGGGGCAGGGUGAGUCGACCCCUAAGGCGAGGCCGAAAGGCGUAGUCGAUGGGAAACAGGUUAAUAUUCCUGUACUUGGUGUUACUGCGAAGGGGGGACGGAGAAGGCUAUGUUGGCCGGGCGACGGUUGUCCCGGUUUAAGCGUGUAGGCUGGUUUUCCAGGCAAAUCCGGAAAAUCAAGGCUGAGGCGUGAUGACGAGGCACUACGGUGCUGAAGCAACAAAUGCCCUGCUUCCAGGAAAAGCCUCUAAGCAUCAGGUAACAUCAAAUCGUACCCCAAACCGACACAGGUGGUCAGGUAGAGAAUACCAAGGCGCUUGAGAGAACUCGGGUGAAGGAACUAGGCAAAAUGGUGCCGUAACUUCGGGAGAAGGCACGCUGAUAUGUAGGUGAAGCGACUUGCUCGUGGAGCUGAAAUCAGUCGAAGAUACCAGCUGGCUGCAACUGUUUAUUAAAAACACAGCACUGUGCAAACACGAAAGUGGACGUAUACGGUGUGACGCCUGCCCGGUGCCGGAAGGUUAAUUGAUGGGGUUAGCGGUAACGCGAAGCUCUUGAUCGAAGCCCCGGUAAACGGCGGCCGUAACUAUAACGGUCCUAAGGUAGCGAAAUUCCUUGUCGGGUAAGUUCCGACCUGCACGAAUGGCGUAAUGAUGGCCAGGCUGUCUCCACCCGAGACUCAGUGAAAUUGAACUCGCUGUGAAGAUGCAGUGUACCCGCGGCAAGACGGAAAGACCCCGUGAACCUUUACUAUAGCUUGACACUGAACAUUGAGCCUUGAUGUGUAGGAUAGGUGGGAGGCUUUGAAGUGUGGACGCCAGUCUGCAUGGAGCCGGCCUUGAAAUACCACCCUUUAAUGUUUGAUGUUCUAACGUUGGCCCCUGACCGGGGUUGCGGACAGUGUCUGGUGGGUAGUUUGACUGGGGCGGUCUCCUCCUAAAGAGUAACGGAGGAGCACGAAGGUUGGCUAAUCCUGGUCGGACAUCAGGAGGUUAGUGCAAUGGCAUAAGCCAGCUUGACUGCGAGCGUGACGGCGCGAGCAGGUGCGAAAGCAGGUCAUAGUGAUCCGGUGGUUCUGAAUGGAAGGGCCAUCGCUCAACGGAUAAAAGGUACUCCGGGGAUAACAGGCUGAUACCGCCCAAGAGUUCAUAUCGACGGCGGUGUUUGGCACCUCGAUGUCGGCUCAUCACAUCCUGGGGCUGAAGUAGGUCCCAAGGGUAUGGCUGUUCGCCAUUUAAAGUGGUACGCGAGCUGGGUUUAGAACGUCGUGAGACAGUUCGGUCCCUAUCUGCCGUGGGCGCUGGAGAACUGAGGGGGGCUGCUCCUAGUACGAGAGGACCGGAGUGGACGCAUCACUGGUGUUCGGGUUGUCAUGCCAAUGGCACUGCCCGGUAGCUAAAUGCGGAAGAGAUAAGUGCUGAAAGCAUCUAAGCACGAAACUUGCCCCGAGAUGAGUUCUCCCUGACUCCUUGAGAGUCCUGAAGGAACGUUGAAGACGACGACGUUGAUAGGCCGGGUGUGUAAGCGCAGCGAUGCGUUGAGCUAACCGGUACUAAUGAACCGUGAGGCUUAACCUU
rnacentral:rRNA from 1 species